rnacentral:rRNA from 1 species
UACGAAGGGGGCUAGCGUUGUUCGGAUUUACUGGGCGUAAAGCGCACGUAGGCGGAUCGUUAAGUCGGGGGUGAAAUCCUGGAGCUCAACUCCAGAACUGCCUUCGAUACUGGCGAUCUCGAGUCCGGAAGAGGUGAGUGGAACUCCUAGUGUAGAGGUGGAAUUCGUAGAUAUUAGGAAGGACACCAGUGGCGAAGGCGGCUCACGGGUCCGGUACUGACGCUGAGGCACGAAGGCCAGGGGAGCAAACGGG